CCACUUGUUGACCUUAUUUUGCGAAUCUGACAUCGGAAAUGGACUCCGCACCACCGAAAACAUCUAUAGCAGCCCUCUCCUCUAUUUUUCCGUCGCUGUAAGCUGUGUCCAAGUCUCACCGGAGUUGAAGCUUUCUGUCCUCGGUCCAGUGGCUUCCGGUGAGAUUCCGGCAAAGAUAUUUGCAUAUCUGGACUCCACGGAUCUCAAGCUUCGCAUAAAUGCCCCCGGAUCCAAAUUCUGACACCAUUGACUGUACCAAUUUUUGAACUCCGGUGUUUUUCUGACGCCGAGAAUUUUAAAUUUUUAGCUCGGUAAGAAUUUAUUUGAACUCAAUAAAUUAAUUAAAAUUUUUAAGAAAUAUUAUCACUAUUAGUUAUAUAAUUAUAAUUAAUUAAUUGAUUUAAUUUAAUUAAUUGCUAGAUUAAUUAUAAACAUUAUGGAUUAAUUAAUGGAAUAAAAAAAAUAUUUGUUUUUGCAAUAAUUGUGGCUAUGAAUAAUUAAAUUAAAUUCUGAGAAAUUACUUGUGAGUUGGAUUGUGAAAUAAACAUUAAUGCUAUACUAUUAUUUAUUAGUUAUGAACUAUGUUAUGUUGCAGAGUCGGGAAAAUGAUACAGAUAUAGGUGACUCGACUCCUGCUAAAUAUUUGAUGAAUAUUAGAAGCGUUUUUAGCAAGUUUUGGACAUGUUAUACGGGAGAUAAACAUUCGUAUUUUAUGAGAGGUUUUGUCAAAUUUUCAAUAGAAUUUCCAAGUCGGUUGAUUCAGUUAAUUUGAGACGUUAAAUUAAUUGUCUUUUGGGUUGUUUCUUGACAUUGAGAAAUGUUUGUUACAACUGGAAUUUGAAUAGUAAGAACUGGUAGUUAACACUUAGAGAUAAGGUUAAUUCACUCGCCGGAUUAAGAAUUAAUAACUCUUAAUAGAUCUAAAUCACGCUUAAUGCUAAUCUGUAAUAAUCUUAUAGGAAGAUAUUCCAUUAGGUUAGUGUUGGUUUAGGAAGUUGGUGAGCGAGAGAGAGGAACCAAGUUCGAUUCAGGAUUUAGGCAUGGGUAAGCAAGAUUGGUAAUUUAUAAAAUCAACCUUUAGAAUUCCAUCACUUAGGUCCCCUUUGGGUUUGUUUUUCUUGUUGUGGUUGUCUUUCGAUUGUCAGUUGCUGUUUAUUUAUUUAUUUGCAUUCAUAAUCAUUAGUUAGUUAAUUUAGACUUCUCACACUCUAUUUUAGACUAGAUAACAUAGCGAACAAUAGUAACUCUAGGUUCACCCGAUCUUCAGGGAUACGACCUUGAUACUCACUAGUGCUAGGCCGCAUCUUCACUGCCUUAGGUGUAGGUUGCAUAAGUAGCCCAUCAGCUCCCCAUUUGGCCCGUCUUGAAACACGGACUAAGGAGUCUGACAUGUGUGCGAGUCAAUGGGCGAGUAAACCCAUAAGGUGUAAGGAAGCUGACUAGCGAGAUCCCCUCAUCGGUUGCACUGCUGACCAACCUUGAUCUUCUAAGAAGGGUUCGAGUGAGAGCAUGCCUGUCGGGACCCAAAAGAUGGUGAACUAUGCCUGAGCGGGGCGAAGCCAGGGGAAACACUGGUGGAGGCCCGCAGCGAUACUGACGUACAAAUCGUUCGUCUGACUUGGGUAUAGGGUUGAAAGACUAAUCAAACCGUCUAGUAGCUGGUUCCCUUUGAAGUUUCCCUCAGGAUAGUUGGAGCUUGAGAUGAGUUCUAUCGGGUAAAGCUAAUGAUUAGAGGCAUCAGGGGCACAACGCCCUCGACCUUUUCUCAAACUUUAAAUAGGUAGGACGACACGACUGCUUCGUUGAGCCAGGCCACGGAAUCGUGAGCUCCAAGUGGGCCAUUUUUGGUAAGUAGAACUGGCGAUGCGGGAUGAACCGAAAGCCGGGUUACAGUGCCCAACUGCACGCUAACCUAGAACCCACAAAGGGUGUUGGUCAAUUAAGACAGCAUGACGGUGGUCAUGGAAGUCGAAAUCCACUAAGGAGUGUGUAACAACUCACCUGCCGAAUCAACUAGCCCCAAAAAUGGAUGGCGCUUAAGCGCGCGACUUAUACCUGGCCGUCAGGGCAAGAGCCAAGCCCCGAUGAGUAGGAGGGCACAGUGGUCGCUGCAAAACCCAGGCGCGAGCCCAGGCAGAGCGGCCGUCGGUGUAGAUCUUGGUGGUAGUAGUAAAUAUUCAAAUGAGAACUUUAAAGGCCAAAGAGGGGAAAGGUUCCAUAUGAACGGCACUUGCACAUGGGUUAGUCAAUCCUAAGAGACGGAGGAAGCCCGUCCGACAGCGCGAACUUUGAAAGGGAAUCGGGUUAAAAUUCUUGAACUGGGACGUGGCGGCUGACGGCAACGUUAAGGAGUCCGGAGAUGUCGGCGGGGGCCUCGGGAAGAGUUAUCUUUUCUGUUUAACAGCCCCCCCACCCUGGAAACGAGUCAAUUGGAGGUAGGGUCCAGCGGCUGGAAGAGCACCGCAUGUCGCGCGGUGUCUGGUGCACCCCCGAUGGUCCAUGAAAAUCUGGAGGAUCGAGUGCCAUCCACGCCCGGUCGUACUCAUAACUACAUCAGGUCUCCAAGGUGAACAGCCUCUGGUCAAUAGAACAAUAUAGGCAAGGGAAGUCGACAAAAUGGAUCCGUAACCUCAGAAAAAGGAUUGGCUUUGAGGCUUGGGCCCGAGGGUCCUAGUCCUGAACCCGUCGGGUCAGUUAGCGAGGAAUCCUCGCGUGCCAGCCCUCUAUUUCAGAGGCAGCGCGCCUAUCGAGCCCGUUGGCUAGAAUCCUCACAGGUGCGGGCCCGUUGGCAGCGCAUCCUUGUAGCCUAGCGCACGCGUUGGCUAGCAUCCUCGUAGCCUAGCGUCGCGU
rnacentral:ncRNA from 1 species